rnacentral:ncRNA from 2 species
AGACUGCGCGCACUUUCGGGUGACCGCGGCAUGGGCCGCGGUUGAAACGGGAAGCCGGUGACGCCGGCGCGGCCGCCAGGCCACGCGGACAUUCCGGCGCUGCCCCCGCAACGGUAAGCAGGACAAGUCCGGGCACACCGCCACUGUGCAAACGCAUGGGAAGGCGCCCGGAUGGAGCAGGCCACGCGCCUGUUCGCCCGCGAGCCCGGAGACCGGCCCGGAAGACGACUGGUUG